AUUGAACGCUGGCGGCAGGCCUAACACAUGCAAGUCGAACGAGUGGCGGACGGGUGAGUAAUGUCUGGGAAACUGCCCGAUGGAGGGGGAUAAAUACUGGAAACGGUAGCUAAUACCGCAUACCAUCGGAUGUGCCAAGAUGGGAUUAGCUAGGAGGUGGGGUAACGGCUACCCUAGGCGACGAUCCCUAGCUGGUCUGAGAGGAUGACCAGCCAAACUGGAACUGAGACACGGUCCAGACUCCGACGGGAGGCAGUAGUGGGGAAUAUUGGACAAUGUGCGCAAGCCUGAUGCAGCCAUGCCGCGUGUAUGAAGAAGGCCUUCGGGUUGUAAAGUACUUGCAGCGGGGAGGCGUUACCCGCAGAAGAAGCACCGGCUAACUCCGUGCCAGCAGCCGCGGUAAUAC
rnacentral:rRNA from 1 species